UACAGAGGUCUCAAGCGUUUGUUCGGAUUCAUUGGGCGUAAAGGGUGCGUAGGUGGCGCCGUAAGUCAGGUGUGAAAUUUCGGAGCUUAACUCCGAAACUGCAUUUGAUACUGCGGUGCUUGAGGACUGGAGAGGAGACUGGAAUUCACGGUGUAGCAGUGAAAUGCGUAGAUAUUGGGAAGAACACCGGUGGCGAAGGCGGCGCUCUGGACCGAGACUGACGCUGAGGCGCGAAGGCGUGGGGAGCAAACAGG
rnacentral:rRNA from 1 species